GACGAACGCUGGCGGCGUGCCUAAUACAUGCAAGUCGAGCGGACUUACAAAGCUUGCUUUUUAAGUUAGCGGCGGACGGGUGAGUAACACGUGGGCAACCUGCCUGUACGACUGGGAUAACUUCGGGAAAUCGGAGCUAAUACCGGAUAAUCCUUUUCUACUCAUGUAGAAAAGCUGAAAGACGGUUUACGCUGUCACUUACAGAUGGGCCCGCUGGGCAUGAGCUAGUUGGUGAGGUAACGACUCACUAAGGCGACGCUGCGUAUCCGACCUGAGGGAGUGAUCUACCACACUGGGACUGAAAAACGGCCCAGACUCCGACGGGAGGCAACAAUAGGGAAGCUACCGCAAUGGACGAAAGUCUGACAGGGCAACGCCGCGUGAGUUAUGAAGGUUUUCGGAUCGUAAAACUCUGUUGUUAGGGAGGAACGAGUACGAGAGUAACUGCUCGUACCUGGACGGUACCUAACCAGAAAGCCACGGCUAGCUACGUG
rnacentral:rRNA from 1 species